UACGUAGGGUGCGAGCGUUGUCCGGAAUUAUUGGGCGUAAAGAGCUCGUAGGCGGCUUGUCGCGUCGGAUGUGAAAGCCCGGGGCUUAACUCCGGGUCUGCAUUCGAUACGGGCAGGCUAGAGUUCGGUAGGGGAGAUCGGAAUUCCUGGUGUAGCGGUGAAAUGCGCAGAUAUCAGGAGGAACACCGGUGGCGAAAGCACUCUGCUGGGCCGACACUGACACUGAGAGACGAAAGCGUGGGGAGCAAAUGGG
rnacentral:rRNA from 1 species